ensembl:Mt_tRNA
AAGAUAUUAGUAAAAUUAUUACAUAACUUUGUCAAAGUUAAUUUAUAGGUUAAAUCCCUAUAUAUCUUU